GGGCGUAAAGAGCUCGUAAGUGGUUUGUCGCGUUGUUCGUGAAAUCUCACGGCUUAACUGUGAGCGUGCGGGCGAUACGGGCAGACUUGAGUACUGCAGGGGAGACUGGAAUUCCUGGUGUAGCGGUGGAAUGCGCAGAUAUCAGGAGGAACACCGGUGGCGAAGGCGGGUCUCUGGGCAGUAACUGACGCUGAGGAGCGAAAGCGCGGGGAGCGAACGGGAUUAGAUACCCUGGUAGUCCACGCCGUAAACGGUGGGUACUAGGUGUGGGUUUCCUUCCUUGGGAUCCGUGCCGUAGCUAACGCAUUAAGUACCCCGCCUGGGGAGUACGGCCGCAAGGCUAAAACUCAAAGAAAUUGACGGGGGCCCGCACAAGCGGCGGAGCAUGUGGAUUAAUUCGAUGCAACGCGAAGAACCUUACCUGGGUUUGACAUGCACAGGACGCCGGCAGAGAUGUCGGUUCCCUUGUGGCCUGUGUGCAGGUGGUGCAUGGCUGUCGUCAGCUCGUGUCGUGAGAUGUUGGGUUAAGUCCCGCAACGAGCGCAACCCUUGUCUCAUGUUGCCAGCGGGUAAUGCCGGGGACUCGUGAGAGACUGCCGGGGUCAACUCGGAGGAAGGUGGGGAUGACGUCAAGUCAUCAUGCCCCUUAUGUCCAGGGCUUCACACAUGCUACAAUGGCCGGUACAAAGGGCUGCGAUGCCGCGAGGUUAAGCGAAUCCUUUUAAAGCCGGUCUCAGUUCGGAUCGGGGUCUGCAACUCGACCCCGUGAAGUCGGAGUCGCUAGUAAUCGCAGAUCAGCAA
rnacentral:rRNA from 1 species